rnacentral:rRNA from 1 species
GCCGUCAAUUCCUUUGAGUUUUAACCUUGCGGCCGUACUCCCCAGGCGGUCGACUUAUCGCGUUAGCUGCGCCACUAAGAUCUCAAGGAUCCCAACGGCUAGUCGACAUCGUUUACGGCGUGGACUACCAGGGUAUCUAAUCCUGUUUGCUCCCCACGCUUUCGCACCUCAGUGUCAGUAUCAGUCCAGGUGGUCGCCUUCGCCACUGGUGUUCCUUCCUAUAUCUACGCAUUUCACCGCUACACAGGAAAUUCCACCACCCUCUACCGUACUCUAGCUCAGUAGUUUUGGAUGCAGUUCCCAGGUUGAGCCCGGGGAUUUCACAUCCAACUUGCUGAACCACCUACGCGCGCUUUACGCCCAGUAAUUCCGAUUAACGCUUGCACCCUUCGUAUUACCGCGGCUGCUGGCACGAAGUUAGCCGGUGCUUAUUCUGUUGGUAACGUCAAAACAGCAAGGUAUUAACUUACUGCCCUUCCUCCCAACUUAAAGUGCUUUACAAUCCGAAGACCUUCUUCACACACGCGGCAUGGCUGGAUCAGGCUUUCGCCCAUUGUCCAAUAUUCCCCACUGCUGCCUCCCGUAGGAGUCUGGACCGUGUCUCAGUUCCAGUGUGACUGAUCAUCCUCUCAGACCAGUUACGGAUCGUCGCCUUGGUAGGCCUUUACCCCACCAACUAGCUAAUCCGACCUAGGCUCAUCUGAUAGCGUGAGGUCCGAAGAUCCCCCACUUUCUCCCUCAGGACGUAUGCGGUAUUAGCGCCCGUUUCCGGACGUUAUCCCCCACUACCAGGCAGAUUCCUAGGCAUUACUCACCCGUCCGCCGCUGAAUCCAGGAGCAAGCUCCCUUCAUCCGCUCGACUUGCAUGUGUUAGGCCUGCCGCCAGCGUUCAAUCUGAGCCAGGAUCAAACUCUU